rnacentral:rRNA from 1 species
GAUGAACGCUGGCGGCGUGCCUAAUACAUGCAAGUCGAGCGAACAGACGAGGAGCUUGCUCCUCUGACGUUAGCGGCGGACGGGUGAGUAACACGUGGAUAACCUACCUAUAAGACUGGGAUAACUUCGGGAAACCGGAGCUAAUACCGGAUAAUAUAUUGAACCGCAUGGUUCAAUAGUGAAAGACGGUUUUGCUGUCACUUAUAGAUGGAUCCGCGCCGCAUUAGCUAGUUGGUAAGGUAACGGCUUACCAAGGCAACGAUGCGUAGCCGACCUGAGAGGGGGAGCGGCCACCGUGGAAUGGAGACCCGCCCAAGACCCGGAGGGGAGGCAGCAGUGGGGAAUCUCCGGAAAUGGGCGAAGGCAUGACGGAGCACCCCAGGGGGAGUGACGAAGUUUUACGGAGCGAAAAACGUUGUUAUGGGGGAAGAAAAAAUGUGUAAGUAACUAAGCACGUCUGGACGGUACCUAAUAAGAAAGCCCCGGCUAACUCCGUG